rnacentral:rRNA from 1 species
AUCGGUGACAGGUGGUGCAUGGUUGUCGUCAGCUCGUGUCGUGAGAUGUUGGUUAAGUCCCGCAACGAGCGCAACCCCUAUUGUUAGUUGCCAUCAUUCAGUUGGGCACUCUAGCGAGACUGCCGGUAAUAAACCGGAGGAAGGUGGGGAUGACGUCAAAUCAUCAUGCCCCUUAUGACCUGGGCUACACACGUGCUACAAUGGUUGGUACAACGAGUUGCGAGUCGGUGACGGCGAGCUAAUCUCUUAAAGCCAAUCUCAGUUCGGAUUGUAGGCUGCAACUCGCCUACAUGAAAUCGGAAUCGCUAGUAAUCGCGGAUCAGCACGCCGCGGUGAAUACGUUCCCGGGCCUU